AGGCUACCAUGCAGUCGAGCGCGAAAGUUCUUCGGAACGAGUAGAGCGGCGGACGGGUGAGUAACGCGUGGGAAAUUGCCCAGUAGUGGGGGACAACAUUCGGAAACGGAUGCUAAUACCGCAUACGCCCUACGGGGGAAAGCAAGGGAUCUUCGGACCUUGCGCUAUUGGAUAUGCCCGCGUCGGAUUAGCUAGUUGGUGAGGUAAUGGCUCACCAAGGCGACGAUCCGUAGCUGGUCUGAGAGGAUGAUCAGCCACACUGGGACUGAGACACGGCCCAGACUCCUACGGGAGGCAGCAGUGGGGAAUAUUGGACAAUGGGCGCAAGCCUGAUCCAGCCAUGCCGCGUGUGUGAAGAAGGCUCUAGGGUUGUAAAGCACUUUCAGUAGGGAGGAAGGCCUUAAAGUUAAUAGCUUUGAGGAUUGACGUUACCUACAGAAGAAGCACCGGCUAACUCCGUGCCAGCCGUGGGGGUU
rnacentral:rRNA from 1 species